UUUUUGUGGACAGACAUUUUUUUCUGCUGAGAGUGAUCAACGUCACUACAGCUACGAGUAAAAAAAAACACACAUACACACACACACAGACACACAAAUAAAAACAGUAUAUCCAACAACAAAAAAAGCUUUAUAAAUGGGGAUCGAGGUCUUUCUAGGUCAAAAUGCACCUGAUGUAUAUUUGUCUGUUUGUCUGCUUUCAGUCUCUGGUCGGGAUGCUCUGAAGUUGGGGUCUGCAUGUGUCCGUCAUGGCAGGUUUAUUACAUGUUCGGUGUGUUUUUCAUAUGCUGGACGUCCGUCUCUCUUCACCGUUGUUGGAGAGUGUGCCGCUUCUGUCAGCUUAGCAGAAACAGCUUCUUGGUUGAUCUGGUGCUGCAGGGAUCGUGGCAGGGUGUGAAUAAAUAACAAAUCUCAUACAGAGGCAGACGGAUGGAGAUCUUUUUGUUGGCCCGGCCUUGUGUAUGUCUCAGUUCAGGGUCCCCGUCUGAUGGAAGGAUGGAUUGAAUGCACACUCUCACUGCAGCCUGUCGUCGCUCUGUUGGGUUUGCUCUGCACCACACACACUACUACUAUUACUAUUACUACUACGACUGCACUCUCACCCUCCUCAGGCUGACUGAGGCUUCCCAUUGGCUGCUGAAAUCACUGCUCAAAAUUAGCCUGGUGGAAAUUUCCACGUGUUGUGGCGGGUGGGCCAGAGAGAAAUAUGGAAAGUUCCAGCUCUUUUCAGAGUCGACAGCAGGUAAAGAGGAGGGGGGCGGUUGGUCUCUGUCUGCCCCCGAGCCUCUCCCUGUCCUUCAGUGUAUCUGUGAGAGCAAGAUGAACUUUGAGUUGAUUGUUAAUUAUGUUAUUUUCUCUACUAUCACAUGCAGUUAAGCAGUCAGGACACAGUGUGCCACAGCUUGUUCACUCAGGGCUGACAUUCCAGGAUUUCUCUGGAACUCUUCGUUCCCUCAUGCUCCUGUUUUCGCCUGCCUGCCGGCAGAGCUGAUAUCGUCCCGAUACUUACCACACUGAGAAAAAAAUUGUUUUUUUUUUUUGUAUGUUUUUAGAGAUCCAGUGUCAGACAGAUCCGGUAUAUUGAGUAAUUUCCUCACAAUGAAAUUUGUUGCAUUUUCUCACGUCUGUCCCUUCUGCUGCGAGUCAGAAGCAUUCCAGUCAGCUGUACUCUCACACAGAGCUACCAGAAGACUGGGCGUCCUCCACGCAGACCAGUCUGACCUUUUGCUCAGAGCCCAAAGGCCAUCAGUGUUCCACAGCAGCUAUAGUCAGCGAGGUCUCCUUCCACUUCAGUCAGUCAGUCAGCUUGCCAGUGCAGACCAACACCUUUUUUUCUCAAUGCUUUUAUUUUGGGGAACUUGGGUUGGACCAGUGUGAUUGCCAAUCAAACAGAAAAGCAUUCAGCACUUAUAUAAAAGCCAAAGUUUUGGCAGCUUACUGUCAAUAACAAGAAUCCACAUAAUCAAGUCAGAGAAAGCAGAGAAGCUGCCUCCACAUGUUACCAGUGCCUUCUCAAACCCAGAGCCACUUCCAGGCUAAUUACAUUGGCUAGAAUAACACAAUAACACACAGCCCGCCGUGCUGUCUCUGUAUCAGCUCACAUGCCAACGAAGAGGCAAAGAAAUCUGAGCUACAUCUACUUUCUGUGUGUGCAGAAUUUGGGGCAGGUUUUUUUUUUUUCCUUCUCCUGGUAGAUAUGUUCUGUAGCUUGUGGCCGGUGUCAGUUUUGGACUCCACUGUUCAUCCAGUGCUUUAGUGGUGACACUGUGGAUUUGCCAGCAGAGUCUGUGCUGUUGGUUCUCAGAAGCAUCUGAAGUUAUGAUCUAGAUUUUAGCAAACGAUCCUGAUUAGUUACAGUCUUCGUUUUUUUGUACUUUGUAAAUUAUCUGUGGCAUACUUUGGAAAAAAAAUAUAUGGGGAAAAAAAAACAAAUGCCUGUUAGUAGUGUGUACAUGACAGAAAAAUACUGAAGGUGAGUUGUGUCCCAAAUCCACUCUGUGUCCCUAAAUCUACCCUCAUGAUCUGUAAGCUAUCAAUCUAGUUGUUAGUUCAUUUGUUUUUUAAUCAUGGAAAAAAAAAAAAAAACACCAGAUGCCUAGAAGAGACUAGUCAGGAUUAGUCGGUAGUUUGGGAGCGGGACGCAUCUCACCUUCGCCCUCGGUUGCUUUCUUGUGGUGGUGUUCACACGCAUAUGCAAUUUUCAAUUAAGAUGGUGCCCAUGCAUUUGAAAUACCAGAUAUUUAUUUUAAUAUGAUCAGUGUCAUUGUGUAGAAGAACACGGUUAGCUUUGUGGUUGAGCAUUUUUGAGGUUUUAUGAGAGCGGAGCUGUGUAUAAAGGCCUAGUUUGCUGUUGUGCAGAUGGAGCGGCGGUGAGCAGCAGGAGUGCUCGUUUUAGUAAGUUAGUUACUUAGUUAGCAGUUGUUGUUAUCUUUGUUUGGCCAGAGUCUACCUCAGUGCAUAUGGACGAAUCAGUCUAAAGAGCCUAAGUCAUCCCCAUCACUUAGUCACUAUCCCAUAAUUUCAGAUAUCACUUUAUUGCACAUUACCUACAUAGCUGGUGACUUCCUCCCCUCUCCUGCCAUACUGAUUGGAACCCACACCUCCUGGUUUUCGUACUUUUCUCUCCUUGCAUCGGAGGGGGGGACUCUUGUAGACUUUGACAAUAUGUGAAUAUUUCAGAAGCAGAUUUCAUCGGUUUUCUAUCCAGAUGCUUCAACUUUGCAUGUAAUUGAUGAAUAUCAAUGGGGAGCUUAGAAGCAAUAUUUCAACUCAUACCCUUUCAAAAUCAGCCUUUUGGACAGUCUCCUUUAAAUUAUCAAUACAGUUCAUGUAACUAUUCAUGAGAGCCCCCCCCCCCCCCCCCCCCCCAGGGCUCUGGAAGAAGCUGUGUAGCUUUAUUGUAUGUUUCCUUACACCAACCCUCCUUUUCUGUACGGAGCAGUGGCUCUACUGAUAUCUGGAGAUGUAGCAUUAUAUCAUGAGUUGAAAUUCUUGUGACUUGAUGCAUAUCUGUGAUCGCCUACAUGCAGCCACAGCUUGGUCAUGGACCUCCUGCUCAGACCACAUCCAGACCACACUGGAGCCCGGAGGAGGUGGAGGCUCCUCGUCUUCAUCAGUCUGCUUGUACUCAAAACAGUUAAUGUUCAAGUCACGUGUCUCCUUCAGUCGUCGUCUGUUUGCCUGUGUUAAUUUUUGUUUGUUUUUUUUUUAAUGUAUAUUUUUUCUACUGUGAAUAUCAAGAGAGAUGACCUUUAUUUUCAACGUUGACGCCAUGCAUUGGGUCUGUCGUGGCUGAUCGGGAUGCAGAUGUCUGGACUGGUUCAAAAGUUUUAAAGAGGAGGAUCUUUCCUCCCACCCCCUCUGCAAAGGAAAAAAAAAAUAAGCUGGACUGGGACAAUCCUGUGUGCCAUAAGAACUAUAUACUGACAUGAAAACUAGAUUGUAAUUUUUUGUCUCAGGGAGGCGGCCUGAUGCUUGGUGGUUGGAGGAUGAAGAGGAGGAGGAGAAAGAAGAGAAACCUAUCUUUUAUCCACUCUGACUGAAGUUCUCAGCGUGUUUGUAUAAAGCAAAAUGGAGAUGAUGAGGGGCACGUUUUCACCUACAAAAACCCAAUCACCCUCUUCACCAAGUUCUGCCCCUUCAAAGAUAAUCAAGGAGUCCUCCUGUCGCUUUCUCUCGCUUACUGGUUUGGACUUGGUGUGGUUUGGACUGCCCUCUAGUGGUGUGAUGGGAGCGUUGCAGGUCAGGGGUGGCAAAGCAGACAGGGCCCCGACCCAUAGUGCCUUGCUCAGACUAACAGCCCCCCCCCCUCCCCCCCGGUCCUCUGCCCCUGACUGUCCUGUUUCCACAAAUCAUUGAGUUGACAACGCAUGAAUUAUGUUGUUUUAUUAUUCAGUUUUCUCUAGAGUUGUAACUGCAGUGCAACAAUCUGACUGCUUAUUGACAAAAUACUGUAAUUUGGACUGGAAGUAUUUGUACUAUAUAUAUAUAUAUUCUGUACUCUGCUAAGACCUGGCUUGCUGUGUGCAUGAAAAAUUAAAUAUCUAUACCGGUGGAUAUCUUUAUGAUUUGAUUUGAUGCAUAUCGAGUUCGCUUCUCCUCUAUUUAUGACAGUGAUGCCCCAAAGCACAUGCAAAAAAGAGAGAACGUUUUUAAGUAAUUAUUAACGAGUGUUUGCAUUGCACUUUGGGAUUUCCCAUUGAGAUGCAUUCAUUUGUUGCUAUUUUUGUUAAGAAGAUGAACUGAUGAUUAUAAGCUCUUUACUGUACAUAGCAGAUUUUGAUUUUGUUGGGCCCCUAAAAAAAAAACGAAAGCACUUGAUUGUAGGGAAGCUUUGUUGAACUCUUGUUGGACGGAGCAUGCUCAUAAUGCAACACAGGGUGAGAACAAAGCAUUGUAUGUACUAUGGUUUUGUUUCAAAGAAAAAAAGUAUUACAUUUAGAGAUGUUGAUUUUUUUCCUUUUUUUUUUUGUUUGUUUUUUUAGCCAAGUAGGGAGUACAAGUACAAUUACAUUUUCUGACUGUAAAGUUUUACUACUCUUGUACAUUAUGAAUUUGACAUUGUUAUCAAUGUGUAUAUAACUUUUUCUAAAUUUGCAAAGAUAUUCUUUUUUUCAUGACACAACCCACUACACAGAAAGAGCAGAGUUCUGUCUAUUAAAGUAUUUAGCAAAAGCAGCACAACUCCUGUCUGAGGGCUUAAACCCUGUCGAAACAGUUGGUGGCCUGAACAGUUUUCUCAAACCCACCCUGCUCUUAAUCCGAUGCAUGUUCUGAAUGUUGGCUGCAGAUGCCACUCAUCUGAACCAUCCCGCCCAGUCACAGCAGCAUGUCAGCCAUAAAGCCUUUCUUCUGUCGCAGAUGCAUCAUGGAUCACAAAUGCUAGUCGUAAAAUAUUGAAUUCUGACAGGAUUCGUAUGUGUAAUUUUCAGAUGUUUUUAUUUUCAUGUGAAAAACUGGACAAGACCACUGCACAUCUUCCUAAAGAAGAGAAAACUCGAGUGAUAAAAUCCUGAAUAAGCUAAAACGGAUGCUUUUAUUGAGCAUGUGUCGUCGAGUUCAGACUGUAAAGCUGGAGGUGUUAAAGGGAUAGCACAACACUUUGGGACACGUGGUUCAUCUAAGAGAUACAUUAGAAGAUAGAAGUGAGUAUUGGGCUGCGACAGUUCUCAUCCACAAUCAAAGUUUACACCUAAAUCACCUAUAUUUAAAUCCUCUGGGAUGUUUGAAUUCUUUAGUCCAUGUAAAAACCGACAUAAAAAAACCUUUCAUAUUGGUUAAACUCCAACAGUGUGUCAUGGAACCAUCUGUCUUUUAUUAAAAAGACAUGAAAAUCCUUCAAUCCUUUUGUUUCUCAUUCAGCAAUGAGCACAUGUCCCAAACCACCUGCUGUUCCUUCAAACAGACUGAGUGUACAAAUGAAACACCUCGGCUGAGAAUGCAUUAAGCACCGCUUGUCAGUUUAGUGAUGAGCUGUUCACACUUUGUUAUACAUGAGGCUUUUUAGGUGCGUUGACCCUGUUGGCAAGAUAACAAAUCGGAGGAAAAAGCAGCCUCUUCGUUACUUUAAAGAGUUGUCUGUCGGUCCAGUGGUCUGCUCCAGUUUAUAUGAUAACACCUUAUAUUUGUCUCUAUCAUGUUCCCUGUGCUGUGUGUUGUUUGAAAUGGUGGAGUUGAGUCUGUCGUCGUCCUCGGUUGAAGUCCAUACCAUGACUUUCUUUGUCCGAUUGCUGCUCCUCCUCCUCCUCCUCCUCCUCCUCCUCCUCCUCUUCUUCUGUGUCUUCAAGUCUCUCCUCGGUGCACAUAGGUGGUCCCCAGAAUGCUGUGUGUAGUCUUGCAGGAUACCUCUUUAUUGUCAUUUUAUUGCCGAUGAAUAUGCUGAUGUAUUAAUUUUGGGAUAUGUUGUGUAUACAUUGUGUUAAAGACGGUGGUGUGUGUGCAGACAGCAGGAGUUUAUGUGUGUAUGUACAGUCGAACCCUCCGAAAAUCUGCAACCCACAGAUCGCUUCAUCCCUCACACUGGAUCCAAAUGUGCCAUUAUCUUUAUGUAUCACUAAUAUCAACAUGUUGAAUACACACACACACACACACACACACACACACACACACACACACACACACACACACACACCCACACACACCCACACACACAGAAUUACAUGCAUAUUGUACAGGAUCAAAAA